CCUCUGGUUCUUUCCCUACUAAAACAGUGUCUGUCUGUCUGCCCUUAGAAGCCCUCUGAGUCCUGGCGAGUAAUGAGCAGCUCCAACCAGUUCAGCUUCAACACAAACCAUGUUCCCUGCAUCUAUGCUGCUGCUGCUGCUGCUGGCAGCUGUAUCCUGUGUUCAGUGUGAAGAACUCACUCAGCCAGCCUUUAUGACUGUCCAGUCAGGUCAACUACUGACCAUCUCCUGUGUACAGAGUUAUGAACUCACUCAGCCAGCCUCUAUGACUGUCCAGCCAGGUCAACCACUGACCAUCUCCUGUAAGGUCUCGUAUUCAGUUACUAGCUUGUAUACAGCUUGGAUUCGACAGCCUGCAGGGAAAACACUGGAGUGGAUUGGAUAUAUUAGUAGUGGUGGAAGCACAGCUUAUAAAGAUUCACUGAAAAACAAGUUCAGCAUCACCAGAGACACUUCCAGCAACACAGUGUUUUUAAAAGGACAGAGUCUGCAGACUGAAGACACAGCUGUGUAUUAUUGUGCUCGGUGGCCACAGUGAUACAAACCAACAGCAGACCUGUACUAAAACUCACUCCUCCCUUGUACAGUUGAAGUUAGAAGUAUAUAAAUAUCAAACAUCCUAUGAUAUAAUGAUUACAACAUACCAGUGGAGUCUGCUGAGGGGAGGAUGGCUCAUAAUAAUUGUCUGUAACGGAGCGAAUGGGAAUGGCAUCAAACACAUGCAAGCCAUGUGUUUGGUGUAUUUGAUACCAUUCCACUAAUUCCGCUCCAGCCAUUACCAUGAGCCCGUCCUCCCCAAUUAAGGUGCCACCAGUUGUGUUGUGACAUGGUAGGGGGGUAUACAGAAGACAGCCCUAUGUGGUAAAAGACCAAGUCCAUAUUAUGGUGAGAACAAAGAAGCGAGAAGACAAAUGACGGUCCAUCUUUACUUUAAGACAUGAAGGUCAGUCAGAGAGGAAAAUUUCAAGAACUUUGAAAGUUUCUUCAAGUGCAGUCGCAAAAACCAUCAAGUGCUAUGAUGAAACUGGAUCUCAUGACCACCACAUGAAUGGAAGACCCAGAGUUACUUCCUUAAGCAGCCGGUGAAGAUACUGUGAGACACUGCCCAAUCCUUCCUUUUGGAGGGUGUUUUGCCUUUGUCUGACACUGGUUACAACGUGUUAGUACAAGGCGUGGAGAUGGGUUGCAUGGAAAUUCCUUUAUAUAAUGUGAAACUCGAGUCUGAUCUUAUUUCUGGUUUCAUUUUCAUUGGAGUUGUUAUGUUCUGUUAAUUACUGAUGUCCCCUUUAAAAAUGGAGCACCCUUGGUCAUGCGCAGUGUUGUUCUAUGUUGUUCUGGUACUAACUCGUUUUAGUAAAUGUGAAGCUCCAGUUCAUUUCCUUGUAU